GGUCCCUAACCUUAACCAGUCAAUCUUUUUUAGCCGGACCCUUGUUUUGGUGACUACAGCAGCUACAUGUUUGUUAAAGUUGAGCUUCUCGUCCAUCUGCACGCCAAGGUAUGGUAGGACCGCUGUUUUGGGUGGAUGUUGCCCAGCUAGCCUAGGUGCUGGAGUCUGUUGUUGCGCAGGAGUGAUUUGAUUUUGCAGAGAAGACCCUGAAACCAGACUCUAUCGAAAGCUUCCUGAAUGUCCAUGUAGACAGCACAGCAAUGUCGCUGCUGUCCGUAAGACCUGAGGAUAAAUUGUGUGGCUCGGCCGACUUGCUUCUCUGCGGAGUGCUGACUUCUAAAGCCAAAUUGAUGAUUUGGUAUGGCCAUGGCAAAAUGUUCUUCAAAGAGACGUAUUUUAAUAAGGCGCUCGAAUAUUUUUGAGAAUCCUGUUAGAAGACUGAUAGGCCUGUAUGAUUGAAGUUUAUCCGGCGGCUUUCCUGGCUUCUGUUUUAUUGUAAUUUUGGCACAUUUCCAAGCUUUUGGGAAAUACCCUAUCUGCAGGGCAGAGUUGAAUAUUAGCAUAAGAUUUUAAUUCGUUGAUGGUAAAAGGUCUGACGGACGGGAGAGAGGCCGUCAAGAAGACAGAACCGUUUUAUUUGCAUUUAUACUCUUAAAUUAGCAUAUUAAACAAAAUUUAUUGGCGCCAACUGCUUAUUUUACAUUUUACAUGUAGUUGCAAUGUUUUUAGCUGAACAUGUGUUGCCUUACAGACGAUAGUUUUAUCUUUAACAUUUCUUACAUUAUACAUUACAUGGAAGUUAAGGUAACAUUAAUAUACAAAAAUACUGGACAAAAAUAUGUUGCUGAAGCUUUAUUUACAAACAGGAAUUGACUUCUUAUU